rnacentral:rRNA from 1 species
UUCCGGGUUGAUCCUGCCGGAGGUCACUGCUAUUGGGAUUCGACUAAGCCAUGCGAGUCGUGAGGGUUCGGCCCUCGGCUGACGGCUCAGUAACACGUAGAUAAUUUGCCCUUAGGUGGAGGAUACCCUCGGGAAACUGAGAAUAAUACUCCAUAGAUCUAGAAUGCUGGAAUGCUUUUAGAUCGAAAGAUUUAUCGCCUAAGGAUAAGUCUGCGGACUAUCAGGUUGUAGUCAGGGUAAAGACCUGACUAGCCUACGACGGAUACGGGUAGUGAGAGCUUUAGCCCGGAGAUGAUAUCUGAGACACGAUAUCAGGCCCUACGGGGCGCAGCAGGCGCGAAAACUUCGCACUGUGCGAAAGCACGACGAGGGAAUCCCAAGUGCUGGCUCGUAAGAGUCAGCUGUUUCUCUGUCUAAAAAAUAGAGAGAGUAAGGGCUGGGUAAGACGGGUGCCAGCCGCCGCGGUAAUACCUGCAGCUCAAGUGGUGGCCGCUAUUAUUGGGCCUAAAACGUCCGUAGCCGGUUCUAUAAAUGCCUGGGUAAAUCGUACGGCUUAACCGUACGAAUUCCGGGUAGACUGUUCAACUUGGGACCGGGAGAGGCUAGAGGUACUCCUGGGGUAGAGGUGAAAUUCUGUAAUCCUAGGGGGACCACCAGUGGCGAAGGCGUCUAGCUAGAACGGGUCUGACGGUGAGGGACGAAGCCCUGGGGAGCAAACGGGAUUAGAUACCCCGGUAGUCGAGGGUGUAAACGCUGCUCGCUUGAUGUUAGUCGGGCUCCGAGCCCAACUAGUGUCGGAGAGAAGUUGUUAAGCGAGCUGCCUGGGGAGUACGGUCGCAAGACUGAAACUUAAAGGAAUUGGCGGGGGAGCACCGCAACGGGUGGAGCGUGCGGUUUAAUUGGAUUCAACGCCGGA